rnacentral:miRNA from 1 species
UACCUCGUCGACCGCAAGGGAUUCCUUCCGGUCAAUGAGGAACCUAUACCUCGUUGACCGGAAGGAAUUCCUUCCGGUCGAUGAGGAA